AACGCUGGCGGCGUGCCUAAUACAUGCAAGUCGAGCGGACAGAUGGGAGCUUGCUCCCUGAUGUUAGCGGCGGACGGGUGAGUAACACGUGGGUAACCUGCCUGUAAGACUGGGAUAACUCCGGGAAACCGGGGCUAAUACCGGAUGCUUGUUUGAACCGCAUGGUUCAAACAUAAAAGGUGGCUUCGGCUACCACUUACAGAUGGACCCGCGGCGCAUUAGCUAGUUGGUGAGGUAACGGCUCACCAAGGCGACGAUGCGUAGCCGACCUGAGAGGGUGAUCGGCCACACUGGGACUGAGACACGGCCCAGACUCCUACGGGAGGCAGCAGUAGGGAAUCUUCCGCAAUGGACGAAAGUCUGACGGAGCAACGCCGCGUGAGUGAUGAAGGUUUUCGGAUCGUAAAGCUCUGUUGUUAGGGAAGAACAAGUGCCGUUCAAAUAGGGCGGCACCUUGACGGUACCUAACCAGAAAGCCACGGC
rnacentral:rRNA from 1 species